rnacentral:rRNA from 1 species
GUGAGGAAUAUUGGUCAAUGGGCGAGAGCCUGAACCAGCCAAGUCGCGUGAAGGAAGAAGGAUCUAUGGUUCGUAAACUUCUUUUGCAGGGGAAUAAAGUGCAGGACGUGUUCUGUUUUGUAUGUACCCUGAGAAUAAGGAUCGGCUAACUCCGUGCCAGCAGCCGCGGUAAUACGGAGGAUCCGAGCGUUAUCCGGAUUUAUUGGGUUUAAAGGGUGCGUAGGUGGUUUGAUAAGUCAGCGGUGAAAGUUUGCAGCUUAACUGUAAAAAUGCCGUUGAAACUGUCGGACUUGAGUGUAAAUGAGGUAGGCGGAAUGCGUGGUGUAGCGGUGAAAUGCAUAGAUAUCACGCAGAACUCCGAUUGCGAAGGCAGCUUACUAAGCUACAACUGACACUGAAGCGCGAAAGCGUGGGGAUCAAACAGGAUUAGAUACCCUUGUAGUCC